rnacentral:misc_RNA from 1 species
GAUGAAGAACGUAGUGAAAUGCGAUAAGUAGUGUGAAUUGCAGAAUUCAGUGAAUCAUCGAAUCUUUGAACGCACAUUGCGCCCUGUGGUAUUCCGCAGGGCAUGCCUGUUCGAGCGUCAUUUCAACCCUCAAGCCCCGCUUGGUGUUGGGCCCCGCCCGCUGUGGCCGGCCCUAAAGACAGUGGCGGCGCCGCCUGGCCCUCAGCGUAGUACAUCUCUCGCUCCAGGGUCCGGUGGCCGCCUGCCAGAACCCCCCAACUCUGUGGUUGACCUCGGAUCAGGUAGGGAUACCCGCUGAACUUAAGCAUAUCAAUAAGCGGAGGA